rnacentral:rRNA from 1 species
CCUACGGGAGGCAGCAGUGGGGAAUAUUGCACAAUGGGGGGAACCCUGAUGCAGCAACGCCGCGUGAGUGAAGAAGUAUCUCGGUAUGUAAAGCUCUAUCAGCAGGGAGGAAAAUGACGGUACCUGACUAAGAAGCACCGGCUAAAUACGUGCCAGCAGCCGCGGUAAUACGUAUGGUGCAAGCGUUAUCCGGAUUUACUGGGUGUAAAGGGAGCGUAGACGGUAUGGCAAGUCUGAAGUGAAAGCCCAGGGCUUAACCCUGGGACUGCUUUGGAAACUGUUAGACUAGAGUGCUGGAGAGGUAA